rnacentral:rRNA from 11 species
CGGUCAGACGGAAAGACCCCGUGAACCUUUACUACAGCUUCACAGUGGCAUUAAAGAACUUAUGUGUAGGAUAGGUGGGAGGCUUUGAAGCUGUGUCGCCAGAUGCAGUGGAGCCAACCUUGAAAUACCACCCUUAAUUUCUUUGAUGUCUAACCGCGCCCCUGGAUGGGGCCGGGACCCUGUGUGGCGGGUAGUUUGACUGGGGCGGUCGCCUCCUAAAGAGUAACGGAGGCGCGCGAUGGUGGGCUCAGACCGGUCGGACAUCGGUCGUUGAGUGCAAUGGCAUAAGCCUGCCUGACUGUGAGAUCGACAGAUCGAACAGAGACGAAAGUCGGUCAUAGUGAUCCGGUGGUCCCGAGUGGAAGGGCCAUCGCUCAACGGAUAAAAGGUACUCCGGGGAUAACAGGCUGAUACCGC